UUUGCACUCAUCGGGGAAGGGUGAGAACCUUCGACUAAGGUUCGACUCUAGCGAAAGCGAGAGAACGUUUUCACAGGCAACGGCCCGAAGGGUGAGGAGCGAAGCGACGAAUAAUCCUUUCCCCACCGCCA
rnacentral:sRNA from 1 species